UCCGACUGAGGGAUCCCCGGAGAGAAUAUUUAAAGGGCGGUGGGCGGGUAGAUGGAAUUAUGGAACCAUCUUCAGCGUAUUAGAGUUGCCUUGGUCUGUAAUAAUUGUAGCCAAAACUGAAAGUCUGGGUGGUCGUUGAGCUGAAACCAUGGCUCAGAAAUUCGGGGGUGGGAGAAGCCCCGUUGGAACUCCAUCACUGGGUUGGUCCUUUGUAGUCGUCAUCACUUCCCUUCUCGCCGGCGCCUCCAUCGUCCACAACAUCUACAAACCAAAUCUUACCCUGCAUCCAGUGGAGAGUGUUCAAACAACCAACAAGAAAGAUCCUGAUUAAAAAUUAAUUAGUUUAUAACUUUUAGCCUAUAAUUUAGUUUAUUUCUUUCAAGAUACAAAUGUUGUUUUUCACCUGCUUUGACGUGAAAGUUCUCUAUUAUUGGGAGAGGAACAAAAGCACCUUUAAAGAUUCAUCUCGAGAGCUUUUAGUGUUAUAAAAUUCACCAGUUAUAAAGGAUACAUUCUCUCUUCUGUUAUUAUAAUUCUCUUUAUAUUAAUGUCAAAUGCAGUAGUUUUUUUGUAA